UACGGAGGGUGCAAGCGUUGUCCGGAUUCAUUGGGUUUAAAGGGUGCGUAGGUGGGCAGGUAAGUCAGUGGUGAAAUCUCCGGGCUUAACCCGGAAACUGCCGUUGAUACUAUUUGUCUUGAAUAUUGUGGAGGUAAGCGGAAUAUGUCAUGUAGCGGUGAAAUGCUUAGAUAUGACAUAGAACACCAAUUGCGAAGGCAGCUUACUACACAAUGAUUGACACUGAGGCACGAAAGCGUGGGGAUCAAACAGG
rnacentral:rRNA from 1 species